AUAAGUAAAUAUUCCUUGUGAAGUUUUUUUAUUGUUUUUUUCUGCUGUGACUACCUGUAGGCUUACAUUGGCUAUAGACUUCACUCCUUCUGUCUUGAAACUUAAGUGUUGCCACUUGCAUUGAUUUGUCAAUUAAUCUUUGGUUUAACUCAGUUUUAUUCUGAAUUCUUUAUUUGUACAUUUAUCUCAGCUUUCUAGAUGCUAGCAUGUACAGAACAUUGCUACAUUUCUUGUCAACCUUGUCUUAGAAUUAUAGAAAAUUAAGGUUGGAAAGGACCUGACGAGGCCAUCUAGUCCAACCCCCUGCUCAGAGCAGGACCAUCCCCAACUGUAGCAUCCCAGCCAAGGCUUUGUCUAGCUAGGUCUUAAAACCCUCCAAGGAUGGAGAUUCCACAACCUCUCUGGGUAACCUGUUCCAGUAUUUUACUACCUUCGUGAUGAGAGUUUUUUCCUAAUAUCUAACAUAAACUUCCCUUCCUGCAACUUCAGAUCAUUGCUCCUUGUUUUGUCUUCAUACAACUCUGGCAGCUUUCUGUUAACUUCAAGGUCCACUGAAAUUAGUAUUAAAAGAUUAUAAAUACUACAGAAGAAAUCAGUAUCUUAAUAAUAGACCUGUCAUAACUCCUGGGCCCCUUAAUUAUGAAUCAGCAUCUCAUUGUUCUAAGUGCUGUGGAAACAGAGAACAAAAGGGCAUUCCCCAAAGAGCUGACAUCUAAGUACAGAAGUUGAUUAUUUGGUAAUCGAUUACCUGCAAGGUUUUUAUAUUAACCAAAAAAUGUGGUUAUAUUGGUUCCACCAGUGUAAUGAAAGUUACAUGUCUGGCGAUGUACAUGGACUUCACCUUGACUCCAUUCGGUUGUAGCCAGUAAUCUUGGUCUUGCACUUCUUAACAUGAGUUACUAUACAGUAAUUUUCAUUAUGUAAACUUACUGCAGUACAUAGAACCAUAUAUUUAUUUCAUGUUCUUUUAAAAAAUAUUUCCUGUAUAGCAAUUGGGUAUAGUUUUUAGUGCUCUUCUCUACUGUGGUGUUUGAUUAUCCAGAAUGACAUUAUUUAUCCUGGAUUAUUAACGCUAUUGUAUAGGGUGAAAGAGGAGGACAGAUGGAUACAGAUAGAACAGCAGGGGGUAUACAAAGAGAUGGAGAGCAUGUCUGCGCUUCAGUAUAAUGUGGAGAAUUGGCUUGGGUACUAGAAGCAACCUAGCUGCAACAGCACUGUGCUAUGCCUGGGCUAAUUUGUUGUGUUGAAAAAGGUACAGCUUUGGAGGACCAUCAGAUCCUUCUUUUCAUCAGUGUUCUUCUGAGUUUCAGGUCCAUAGUUACUUGUGGAAUAAUGCACAUUUUAUUUUGCUGUAAUUCUUUUGUACUACCCCAGCUAAAUUUGAUUCUAGUACCUGACCUAGCUGAGGUGUUGCUACAUGACAUGCAAUAUAUAUUAUAGACUAACUUGGAAACGACACUGAUUAACCUUCUGGGCAGUUGGCUUGGUACCCAAGUGGCCUAAUCAUUGUUAGGUUUCCUGCAGGUGAAAUUGUUCAAAAGGAAUGUGAUGGGGGAGGGAUAGGUGGUUUUGUGCAUGUUUAUGGAAGUACUUCCCAUGCUUAAUGGGCAGCAGUAGAGAGAACUUCUUCAUUCUUGUUUUUAAUGUAUAAGUGGAUGAUAGAAGCUGGCAUUGUGAGUUGAUUGGUAUAGGGAGUUGACAUUUUGAAAUUGAACAGAAGAUGAAAAUUAGGAUGAGGAUAUAUCCUAAAAGGACCUUGAUAAAGAGCUUAUGUUUGUGAUUCAAAGAAGGCAGAGCCAGUAAAGGGAAACAUGCCCUUUGUAUUUUAAAAGUGGUUUCUUGAUGUACGCUGGAGUCAGUCUGUAUCCUUGCAUGUUUCUUCCUCUUAUUCCUUUGCCUUUUCCUCUCAUUGUCCAGUGUUAGCCUUUUUGUCCUGCUCCAGUCCUCCUCUUUGAGAGCCUUCUGAAUGGCAGUAUGUGCUUUUUGCCUCCAUUUUAAUGAUCUUUUUUCCCUUAUAUCUGCAUCUCUUUAACUUCAGUUUUUCUUGCUGUUAUUUCUCUUUUUGUAACUGUACUGUUUAACUCUAAAAGGUAUUUUGGAAUACAGUUAAUAUUAAAGUUUGUAUAUUCAGACCCUUCUGCAUAGCCUCUUUCAGAAAAGGUUAAUAAAACCUGCUGGAAGAGGUAUGUGUUUGAACUGAAAAACAAAUCUCAGCUCUCUAUUCUAAUAGAGGUUUCCUUUUUCCUUUCAUAAACAAUGAUUCUUCUUCUACUUUUAUUGAAGGAAAAUCCAUGUCAUAUUCCUCCCAUUGAAGAACAAUUUGAAACAGGAUAGGUGUCCUCAUGUACUCCUCGCACUUCACUAAUGUCAGAAUAAAUAAACAGGUUUUAUAAUUCAGGACUGUAAAACUGCAUAUUAUUUUUUUACACUGAAAGGUUUUCUCAGGGAUGCUUGGCUAUUCUGCAUAAUCCUAUAGUUUUUGAUUAAAUAGUGUUGCUAUAAUAUUUUUCUGAAUUGAUGGCAGUCAUGCCAAAAUUAUAAUUUUUUCUUUAAUAAAAAAUGCAUUCAUUUUUAAAAAUGACAUUUCUUCUGAAUUUUCAGGGAAGACCGUUCUUUAUAUUUCUGAAAGGCCCAUGAUUGCGUUUUAGGAAUAACAUUGGCAUUUUUUAGUUGUUGAACUGCCAAUGUUGUAUUAAAUAUUACGUAGAUAUUGUUGUAUUUUUGCUUUGUAUUAAGAUGGAUACAAUUAAUGCAACGUACCUAUUUUCAAACCCAGAUAAAUAGGUGGUUCACAUUUUUGUUCUUGGGUUAGCAUUUUAAUUUUUUAAUGCAUUUUCAAUAUUAAAUGCUCUGACGUCCAACCUCAAGUAAAUGUCCCUUUAUAGUACCAUGGGAAAACAUAAAAGGAAUAAGCGUUUCAGGAAAAAAAGGAUGAAGACUUGAAUUGAUUUGGAUUUUUUGGAAUACUUUGUUCGGAAAGUGUUGAUUCAAAAAAAUGGACACUUUUUCCAGAAAUGUACCAAUAUUAACAAAACUUUUGUUGUCAGGGUGGAACAGAAAGAGAUUGUAAAUCCUCAGUUUUUUGUGGAGUGGAAUCUUGUUCUUGGCCAUCCCUAAAAUGCAACAUGAGGCACAAUAACAUCUGAUAGGCAGUGUAAAGAAUCUGCAAGAAAGGAGAGAAACAAGGAAGUUAUCACAGGGCCUCUGUCAGGCUUCCCUUUGCUUUAGCAGUUUUCGUGAAGAAUGGCAAAAAAUUGUAACAAGCCUGAAGCAGCCGGGAGUGAAGGAAUAGUUUUAGUUUUAAUGUAUUUUAUCCAAUAAGAAUGAAAGAUAGCAAAUUAUACUCUGAGAUCAAAUGGCUUUUCCUGUUUCAACAAUGUGUGUGAACUCUUUGAUGCCUCUAUAGAUCCAGUAUUUUUUGGCUGACCAUCUUCUAGAUUUAGUUAAUCUUGGAGUCUUAAAGGAUUUAACCAAAGAUGCAUCUAUUUCAGCAUUCUUCAUGCAGAAGUUCCUAAUGCCACCUUCUUCAGAGGAAAGUGAAAGCUUCCAAUAAUGUGGCUAGCCAGUUGUGUAUUACUGCAUCAAAGAUGGGAAGAACGUAAGAAUUGCUGUUUCCUGGGUCAGACUGUUGGCUACAAAUGUCCAACUCAGGAUCCUUAAAAUUCUAGUUUAUUAGGCGGAUUGAAACACUGUAAUGAGUUAAAUCAUAAACCUUGGGGCUGGUCCCCGUGCGCGCGCGCGCACACACACACACACACACACACACACACACACACACAGUAGCAAGCUACAAGAGUCAGGUAUACCUAUCCCACAGGCGCUGGAGUCUGUUGUUGAGGCUUCUUUCAGCGUGGUGUUAUCUUCCAGAAGGGGGUCGCCAGCUGGUCCUUCUGGCUCAACAGGUCAGGUGCUGGUCAAGUUGGAGAUCAAGAGGGUGCCACUGAGGGUCACUUUUCACUGCUUUUUAUCUGUCCUUGGCAGACUUUGGCGACUCCCCAGUUUUCAGGUUUGCCCAAUCCAGGGGUUGUUGACCCUCGUGGGAUUCCCCCCCAGUGGCUACUGGAUGGCAUCUUUCAGCCCUAGAGGUCGUCCACAUGUACGUGCAGGUUUGGGAGUCCGUUGAUGAAUUUUGAAUAGGGCUCUGGGAGCGGUCGAUCUGGAGAUAUUGAGCCCAAAAGUUGGUCCCCGGCAUUGAUUAACUCAGGCCAGGGCUUGUAGCCCUUGAUCAGUGAUGUUUAGAGAUUUCCAGGUUGUUACAUUGUCUUCUAUUGAGUUCUUCUGUUGGUUGAUCUGCAGUUUCCCAGGUGUUAAUUGCUGUCUGCUAUCACGUUACACAUUCAAUCGCUGAUUCACUUACUCUUUCAGGGGCCAGCCUGAUACAGAGAAGGGCAGUUUGAUUCCUGCCUUGUUAACAUUGUUACAAUGUAUAACUUAUUUAUGAAACUAAAUACAUUCAGUUGAAAGUUGAAAGGUGAGGAGUAUAAAAUAUAAGCUACAAAUGCCAUGGCACACAAAUAGAUGAAAAUACCAAACUACAAGGGGAGAUACAAAAUGCACACAUACAAAUUUUAAAACACAGUUCCUUAUCUUAAAGUGAAAGAGAGAGGAAGGAAGAAAAGGUAGAAAAAGAGAAAUAUAUCCAAAGAGGGGAGAGCAACUGUAGGCAAGAGGAAAAGGGGCUUUCUGCUACAAGACCAUAGGUCCAUCUUCCUCAGUGUCUUGUGUCACACAGUGGCAGAGAAUGGAUGAUGAAAGGGACAGUGAACUGGGUAUGAGCAGGGUUUUUCCCUCUGUGCCUCUCUUGCUUGUAGUUGUAGCAUUUAAGGUCUAGGAAGUUCUGAUUCAGAGGCUGUAUCUCUAACUCCCAUACUCAGUAGCUGCUGAUGUCCCUUUCCUCCAAGAAUUUGUCUAAUCCCUUUUUGAAUCUAGCUAAAUGUCAGCUUCCACAACACCUGGCAGUGAGUUCCACACUUUAAUUACAUGCUGUGUGAAAAAGAACCAUCCUUUUGUUAGUUUUAAACUUCCUACCUGCUAGUCUCAUUUUAUAAAUCCUAAUUCUUGUAUUGAGAGAGUAAAUAAACACAUCCCUAUUUGCUUUCUCUUUGCCAUUAUUUUGUAAAUCGUUAUCAUGUUCCCUCUCAAACAUUUCUUUUCUAAACUGAAUAGGCCUAGCCUCUUCAGUCUCUUCUUGUAUAGAAGCGCUUCCAUAUCACUAAUCAUCCUUGUUGCCCUUCUCUAGUUCUUUUAUAUCCUUUUUGAGGUGUGGGGCGCACAGUGUUGGACGUGUGGAUGCACCAUAGAUUUAUAAAGUGGCAUGAUGAUACUUUCUGUUUUGUUUACAAGAGUUUUACAAGAAUUUUUCCCUGGCCCUAGUUAAAGAUGAAUUUUAUGCCCAGUUGAGAAGGUGGAGAGUUGCAUCUUUUGUUUUUGUAAGUUUAGCAAUGGGGAACAGUAGGCUAUUUGGUACAGGAAUUAAUUCAGAGAGACCUGUGGCCUGUUUUCUGUAGGAGGUCAGUGUUAGAGAUGUGAAGGCCUGGGGAAAAAAACCUGAAAAAUUUAGAAAACUGUUUUGUUUUUUUUUCCUUCCCUGUUCUUUUCCAAGGACUUCUGCUUUUUUUCCAAUGGAAAAAUUGGAAAUUUUGGGAAAAACUUAAAACAAACAAACAAACCUCUUAUGAAAUAUGUUCUUUUAGAGCGGUGAAUGAAAUUCUUUUUAAGAAAAGUUUUUUUCAAAUAUUGUUUAUUAUAUCUUCCCUUUACUCCCUCAAAAUUAUUUCUAAUAACUAUAUAGUAUGAAGAUUUUUUUAUGUAAGACAGUCUACAGUAUUAGAGUAUUACAAUUCCUUUACAUGGUAGACAUGACACAGCUCUCAAAUCCAAGAUGCAUUUCUUCCCUGAAAGGGAACUGUCAUCUGCACAGUAAGAGGAAGGAAGGAUCCAGGGCCACCUUUGCUUGUAUAUUUCUGCACUGCCUGCAGCCUUCCUUCCUAUGACCUUUGAUCUAGAAUUUGGUUGAAGUAGAGUAAUCUGUUUUCCUCCUGAGUCCUGACUAGGCCCCUCAACCUGGUCACCUCUCCCCUCAAAGGACUGGGAGUGGACACUGGAGUUCCCUACUACAGGGAAACAAACAGCUUACUGCUAAAGUCCUAUUGUGGGUAGCAAAGCCUCAGAGGAAAAAGAAACCUAAAGAUUUUGGUGGUGGAAUGGAACCUGCUGCCUCCUGGACCCCAUGACCCCGAGAUCCAGAGAAGUACCUAACAAACUGCAUCUAGCAACACACAGCAGCAGAAAGCAGACUUCUUAUUUAUUGAAAGCAACAUGGUGCAACCAUCUUCUAACAUAUGGAAGCAUUUCAACACUACAACUACCAGUCAUUCUGAAACCCCCUCUGUGUUUUGCAAAUACUAUCAAAUUAAAUAUGCAUUUCCAAAUGCUACCAAGAUGACCAAACAUAUCCUUGCAUAUAUGAAGUGUCCUGCAGACAUAAAAAUACCCUUCAUCAGUGAGUAAGGUAGAUCAGGAUAACAGUGGAAGUAGCACUUGGAAACAUUCUCGAUCUGGUAGUCCUCCUGGUUCUUCUGUAACAUCAGCAUUACAAAGUGUUGUCCAGUCAACACCAUUAGGUAAACAGAUAUCUCAACUAGCUGUAUCCAAAAGACUCCCAAUAACUUCAUUUCUAGAUGAGAUGACACCUGAAGAGCAAGAAAAAAAUGACCAAGUUCUUGCAAGAGCAAUGUAUGCUUCUGGGACGCCAGUAUCAAUCAUUGAAAAUGCACCUUGCCAGGCAGCAUUUAAAUCAUAAAGACCAUCGUACCAUUCACCCAGCAGACAUUCUUUGAGCAAGCCUUUUCUGGAGUCAGAGUAAUGCAGUCUGUGCAUGAAAAAAUCAAUGAAGCACUCUGUCUUGCAGUACUUACUGAUGGCUGGAUAAAUGUACGGGGAGAAGGAAUCAUAAACUUUGUAAUAACACCUCAACCAGUUUUUUAUAAAAGCAUUGAAACAGGAGAGAACAGACAUACUGCAGAGUAUAUCAGUAAUAAAAUAUGUGAAGUCCUAUAGAAGAUUGGGAGUGGUAAAGUAUUUGCUUUGCUGACUGGCAGUGCAAGUAAUAUGAAAGCAGCACAGGAAAUCAUAAUGGACAAAUAUCCACAUAUUACUGCAAUAGGGUGUGCUUCCUAUGGCCUAAAUUUGCUGCUUAAUGAUUUUAUGAAGUUGGACGCAUUGCAAAAGAUCUAUAAUAGAGCAAUAGAAAUGAUAAAAUAUGUAAAAUCUACUCGCAUUGUAGCUGCAAUCUUUAAGAAGAAGCAGGAAGGAAAGAAUGGGAAGAAUAAAAUGGUGAUGCUCAAAUUUUGUAGUAAAACUAGAUGGGGUGGAGUGGAGAUCUCAUUUGAAAGUUUACUAAAAAACAAAGAAGCUCUUCAAGAAACAGUGAUAACUGAAGAUUUUAAAGUAGUCUGAAGUGUAAGGAACACUGUACUUGAGGAUGUCUUCUGGGUCCAGCUGCAGCAUUUGAAUCAGACAGUAUCUUUUUGUCAGACAUUGCUUACCUAGUGGCCCAGAUAUAAUCGACAGUAUUUGACCAUGUAAGUAUAUCUCCACUUAAAAGUAUGGAAGAAGGAAAAAUGAACAACUUCAUUCACAGGCGGGAGGAAUUUUGUUGCCAGCCAGUUCAUGCUGCUGCAAAUGUUUGGGAUCCAAGAUUCAAAGGUAGAAAUGUUAGUGAUAAUAGCAUUGCUGCUGCAUUUGACUGGAUUACAAAACAAGCAACACACUUAGGACUCGAUGUUGGCAAGGUACUUUCAGAUGUUGCAGAAUACAGAACGUGAUCAGGUAUUUGGUCCAGGAGUGCAAUCUGGGACUCUACCAAGCAUAUUCCUCCUGCAACAUGGUGGCCUUUGUACAACACAGCCUCUGACUCCACUUGCUUCUCGAUGGCUUCAGAUUUCUCCAUCUUCUGCAGCAUGUGAAAGAAACUGAUCUGUUUGGAAAUAUGCACACCAAAUCCAGAAAUAAACUAACAUGUGAAAGAGUA